UGUAAAGAUUCUAAAUUUAGAUAUUUGUAUUGAGAAUAAUAUAUAACAUAAAAUAGAAUUUAAUUUAAUGCAGUUGACUGAUUUAUUUAUUUGCUUAAUUUUGAAAUUAUAUGUUUCAUUCUGUGUUGACUUGCCAUUUCAAAGAUUAAAUUUAAACAAUACUACACUUCAUUAAAAUAUCUGUAAUAUGUUUAUUGCAAUAUUAUUCCAUCAUUGCCACACUUGGCCCAGCUCUGGAUGAAAGGGUACAUUGCCGACAGGAGGCCAGCUUGAGGCCACAUUUGGGCCAAGAUCGCUUGCUAUGUGGGAAGGACCACACUGUUCAUGAUGGAACAUCACUCUUAGAGCAACCUAUACAUCGUCUUUACUUUUGAAUAACUAAAAUACAGAUUGUCACUUUCUGUGGUGAGAAGUUCAACAUUUUCAGUUUACUUGUCUCAUAUCACAAAUGCUAUAAAGUCCUACUGCAGUCAGUAUAUAUGCUAUUAAAUAAAAGUAUGUAGACAAAUUUUGUAACUUGCAUGCAAUUAUGGCAGUAUUUUUAAAUAAGUGUUAUGGUGGACAGAGGAUUAACAGGCUGUGUAACACUGAAGGGCCAAAUACAGAAAAUACCAUACAGUAGUUGUACAACUGGUGCUUCUAAAGGAAAGAUCAUGGAUUUGUUAAAAUACAAAAGGGUGCUUAUUGGUCAUGUAUAACCGCACAAGUAGCCAAACGUACAGACACACACACAGACACACACACAGACACACACACACACACACACACAUGUACGUCUGGUUUGCUAUCCUUGUGGGGACUCUCCAUAGGCGUAAUGCUUUUUCUACUGUACAGACCGUAUAUUCUAUUGCCCUACACCAACCCUACACCUAACCCUACUCCUUACAGGAAACUUUCUGCAUUUUUAGAUUUUCAAAAAACUUCAUUCUGUGUGAUUUAUUAGCUUGUUUACCCAUAGGGACCUCAAUUUAGGUCCCCAUGACACGAGUCCCCAUGAGUCUGUGUGUAUUCAGGUUUAAAUCCCCACCUGAAUAGAAAAACACUCUCACAUAGUACACACACACACACACACACACACACACACACACACACACGACUACCAUGAUUUUGCCAAGUAAGACCUGUUCCUAAAUCAGCAUAUUUUAUUGAUCCCGUCUGAAAACAGGAAAGUCCCUCUGGCCCUAAAUCUAACUAAACCCUAAAAUCAGAGGGAAAUGACAGGUGGUGAACACUGAAUAGCACAGAUGCAAUGUGAAAUCACCAUUUGAUCAAUUAAUUAAAUGUAACAGCCUACAAAUAAAAAUAAACAAAUAAAAAGACAUAUUUGUAAUCUUUAAUUAAGUUAUUUUAAUUAAGUUAACUGUAAUCUUUUUUUUUUUCCAUAGUUGCAACGCUAUUUGCUGUUGCUCAGUGUUGCUUUGAGCUGAUUGGUUAAGCUGACUGUCACUCAGGAAUCUGGCCAAUGACUAGCGAGCGCGCCGUUUUCCUGCUCAAAUUUGAAUGUACACUUUCACAGCAGUGUCAGUGUGCCGCUGCUGCUCAGCUUCUGCAGUCUGCUGCGGUCGCUACUCUAGUAAUGGCUUUUAUAUGUAUUAUCUGAGUGUUAAAUUCAUAUUUUGAGUGAGUUUGUGUUGUGGGAUGACGAUUGAGAACCAAUAAACGCGAAUAUGGACACUUCUACCAGCAGCUAACAGACAAGCAAACUGCAAAAGAGAGGACCUGAAAGCAUGAUCCUUGGACAUUUGGAGAAGAACACUGGAUGCAAAACAGGAUUUUGGAUCAGCUGUGAAGAUUUUGUAUGGAGCUGAAGUUUUGGAAAUGAAAAUCUUCUACCGUAUGAUCUUCAGAGGAAUUAAUCCAGCUGAUUACUGGCAAUUUGGAGGAGGACUGCUCUUUAUCUGCUGUGUCUGUCACUUCUGGCCAUGGACCUUUUCUUGUAUGUUUUGGUUUUACUUAUUACACUAAUAUAGCUAUUAGUUUUUAACUAUAUGUAGAAUUAAAAUACAUAUGUUUUUCUACAUAUAUUACCAGAGCUACUGUGGUGCCCAAAAUUAUUAGAACACUAUUUAUUUUAUACCAGUUAAAAAAUGGU